rnacentral:lncRNA from 1 species
CUUCUUCCGCGGUUGUUGACGAAGUCACCCAAGUUCAAUUCCUUCCAUCCAUCACUACGGGGUUGAGGAUGUAUGCCCGGAUCCUUCGAAUCUUGUGACUUAUCAAUUGACACGGUAUAGCCUUCAUUAUCAGUUCCCUUAGCCUUUUCCUCAGAAAAUCUUACCGAUGCAGUUGCUUUUUCAAGCCCCCUUGGCUUGGCACUAAGUUUGAACACGAGAUAUGUCGAAUAGGAACUGCCCCUUGGUAGGUCCCUAGAAGGCACACUGGCUCGAAUGUCAAACCAGCAAACUUCAACAAGCUCGGCAACCUCGAAGCUGUACAAAGGCAUUAAAAUCAGUUUAGGAUAAUCUUCGAAAGUCAUCAACUAACUAAAGGGGGAAAGUGAGAUAAUAAUAUAAAUGGAAUAGGACUAUAUACAGGACGGGUACGUGUGAAGUUAGUUCAGGAGGUUUACCCAGAAGGUACAUCAGUGUACCAUUUCCAAUAGCGUGGAUCAUUACCGUGAGAGAUCACUAGAUCCCUUGCGUUGAUGGUGUAAACCUGUGAUGGAAAAUCGAGCAUCGACAAGUUAAUUAAUCUUUUCAGGCAAAGUAACAAAUGACUGAUGAGUAGUUCCAGUAUUAAUGCAAACUAAGAACUACUGUUAUAGUUAUAUACCAUGUUGAAUAGAAGUAGCUCUGGAGUAGUGUUGGAAGGACUGUACGUUUUGUGGAAUGAGGGAUUGAAGAUUGCGGGAAUGGAUAUUUAUAGGCCUAUCUGAUUAACUGACGCUUGCAGAUAUUUCCAAUCUUACCUCAUCAGAGAUGUGUAAAAACGUGUUUCGUGCUGGUGUGAAGGUCAGAUGCUGAUGUGAAUGAGGGUGGCCUUUCACAAAACCACAAAUAUGAGUGUAUCAGAGUCCAAUUAUUCUCUGCCAUCUCUUUCUAUAGUCAAUUUUUGUAAAAACCAUAGCGAAUGCUUAUGGGAAAGUCUUCUUUGCAUGUCUAAAGAUUAGAUGAUAAAAUGAAAAUGGUAGAGCUGGUAAAUGGCACAAUUGGCAAUGUAAAAGAAGGAUAGAGCUUGCAUCAUAGGAAAAACAUGGGAUUUGUACCGUGGAAACUGUAGCAUUUCAAUUUUUUUUUUCUCGCACACUUGUUCAAAAAAUUUAGCAUAAUUGAAGAAAACAAAAGAUAUAAAGAGGCAAACAAAGAAAAGGAUUGAAGAUUGCCAAGGAAAAGGAAUUAUUUGACGAGUCUUAAUGAUACCAUUAAGGAUAAAUUUAAGGAUAAGGAGCAGGUGUAAUUGUGUUUUGUCCAGUUUUAUUUGUAUGGUAUAAAUCAUACAAAAUUUAAUGUAAACUUACAUGACUUUCGUGUAGUUAUUGGUGCCGUUGAUGUAUGUAGAUUAGCUCUAUAGCACAUCCAUGAAAUCUUGUAAUAAAUAUACAAAAUAGAGUCUUAUAACAAAUAUACAAAAUCUUGUAAGAAUUACGCUAACAGGACAAAAUUGAAUAAAGCUUAACUAUACUUGUACCCUUGCAAAAUUUUUAUGUUGUGUGAACGCACUUGGUUGGUUUGACCUGCUGGCAAAUACCUAAAUGAACUCUUGUCCAAGAAAAACCUUUCCAACACCUCUAGUUGUUACUAGAUACUACACUAUGACCAUCACUUGUGGAAAAGUUGGGAGGGAUUUUUUUUUUGGUCAAGGUCAAGACUUAACAAAAGGCCUUUAUGGGAUAGAAGAAUCAUUUUACGUCCAAAACAGGACACAUAAAAGUCUAUCAAGACCAAGACUUAUAAAAAAGACGUACACUAUACUAUACACUUACAACACAUAUUUCAAAAAUAAAUUAAUUAGUUAAAUACAUGCUCAAUCAAGCAAUUUUGUCAAGACCAACAUUGUAAACAGCUGCAGACUAGUAGUAAUAUGAACAUCAAACUUAAAAGUUUUGAAAUUUCACAAGAUGCGACAAGUGGAAAUUGUGCAAAGUGACAUGAAAGCAAGAUUCUAGAUCAAAAUAGUUGUUACUUAAUUUGAAUUCGCAGAUUCAUUCAUCCAAAAAAAAAAAAUUUUCACAGAUUCAAAUAGAAAAUCUGAAUGAUAAAAAGACAAUAACAUAAAUUAGCCAAAAUCACUAGCGCAAAUUUCACUGUUCAUUUAAAAAAACUUACUAUUAUAAUUGCAAAGUUCACCUUGUCUUUCCUAGUUGUUACCACUUUUUUGGUAAAUCAUAUUAAUUUUUUGAACAAACUUUCUACUUCAUUAGCUAAGCACUGCAAUUUAGUUUGGUAAACCCUACUACUUUUCCAACAAAUGAGAUUCAAAAUUUGGAAACUAAAUUUUAUUUUUUUUAUCAUCUUCGAACAAUUUAGUAUUAGUUCAUACAAAUUUUGGUCAAAUUGUCAUAAAUUGAUAGAAAUUCAAACAGGAUUUCUUUUAAGAAGUAAUGUUACAAUUUCUUUUAAAAUAGGAUUAUAUAUCAUUUGACAUUCGAUGCACUUCUACGGCCUUUCUUAGGUAUUGCAAUUAAUUAGGGUUGGCACUUGAAACCUAAAAGAGCCUAAUCAACAAGGUUGAAAACAAACAAUUCGUUAAAAUGAGAACAAAAAGCUCCAAACCACACAACGCGCAGAUGUUGCUUUGGAGUUUUGGAGGGACUAUUUCAUUGAAAGAGGAUUGAAGAUUGAGGAAAUGGAUAAUUAAGUGGCCUUUGUGGAUAUUUCCACAGUGGCCUCAUCAUGGACAUCAAAAACGUUGGUCCUUCUCAUUCUUUUACACGUACUAAGACAAACGUAAUCCUUGGCAAAAUUCACACCGUCGUUGGUUUAUCCUUCUAGUUGAAGGGCACAAAAUGUACCAAUCAUAGUAGUAGCUCUGACAAUGACAUUAGGUAACAUCAAUUGCUCAAUAUCCGUGAAUGCAAUGUUAAGUUAAAACUUAGAUUUUAGUUUUUUUUUUGUCAAAUAAAACUUAGAGUUUAGUUAUGACUACACUGAACUGCUAAACCAUCAUCAGGUCACAACGUUGCCACUCCAAUUAUACCCAAAAGAUCAUCAUGGUAACUUGCAAUCAAUUUGAAUCACACACCAUUCUCGAUAUAACUAAAUCAUGGAAUAUUUUGAACCAUAAUUCACACUUCUAGAUCCUAAACAUUGAUAAAUUACAAGUAUGAUAGGCUUAUUUGUUACCUACACUUGCGACUAUUUCUAGGAGAAUAAGAAAUUCCAUAGGCCCAUUGAUCAAGGAAGUUCGUCUAAAUAUAUCACCAUGAAUCUUGUGAAAUAACAUAUUUCCAGUAUACACAAUCCGACUAGUUAGUUGAAUAUAUCAAAUAUUAAUUGAUAUGAAUCAAUCAUCAUAAAUGCCAAACAAUCAUCUGAAGACACCAAUCAAUCAUGUCAGUUACCUUAUGUCCAAAAAGAUUGAAUCAAUAGUUAGUUAUAUUUUCCAUAAAAAAAAAAAACAAGCCUUAUUGUCAGUUAUGUUUUCCACGAGUAUCUUGUCAGGAAAACAAACCAUAAAUGGAGGAAUCUUGUAGACCUCAGAAGAAUGUUAGAGACGAGGUUUUUCCUUUGCACUAAAUUUUAAAAAUCUAAAUAUUCUAUUUUUUACAAGUAUACAGAUUGUUUAUCAAGAAUAGGACAUAUUAGGUAUCGAUCUCACAGGCAAGAUUGUCAAUUAUUGAUGAUUUUCAAGCUUCUUUAUUAUUUAAGUUAUCACAAAUACAAGAAAAUAAAUCUACUUUACAAUCAUGAAAUAAAAGGAGUAAAAAUAGCAAUAGAAAGCUUCUGGGGCUAUGGCAUUCCUAACUAGGGUGAUGAUAUCUCUAGAACUUACUCCUUCGAAAGACUCCUCAAGAGGGGUUAAAUGUGAAUCAUUCAUGCUCAUCUCUUGAUGUUCAACCUUAGUUUCAAAGAUACAAUCAUGUAAAAUGGACAUUUCGUCAUUGGAACACAAAUUAGAUUCAUCAUUUUGAUCAAAAUGCAAUCCACUUUCACAUACAACAUUCCCACCAUUCACAAUAGGAUCAAUUUACAUAUUAUUAGAUGAUAAAACUUCACAUAAGGCAUGCAAUUGGUCUUAAAUUCUACCAAAUUGAGAAGCUAAUUCAUCUAAUAUAUUCUCAACCCUAUCAAAAUGGUCAGAAGUCAUAUUAGCUAACCUUUCAAUUGCUAAUUUCCAAGACAAAAGUGCAUUAACUAACCUUUCAAUUGCUAACUUCCAAAAUGGCUUUGAUUCAAGUUGGACAAAUUCGAAUUGGUAAUUAUAAAAAUACAGAGGAGCAUUAUAUCCAUACUGAUUAUUUCAACUAUAAACAUAAGAAUUAUCCCAAUUAGGAUCAUAUUGAUCAAAACAAGGAUUGAAAGGCUCAAAUUCAUCAUAAUAAUCUACAUUUUGUGCGUGUCUACAUGUACGAGUAGCAUGAUAAUCGUCACACAAGUUACAAAUCACAUAAUUAGAAUAAAAAAUAUUAACAUUUUUCUUUCUUUUUUUCUUUUUUUUUAUUUGGCUAACCCCAUGCACGGGGAGGGACGCCACCCCUGAGUAUUAUUAAUAAAAACCACAAAAGACACAUACAAUGCCAAUCAAUCGAGCACAACCCUACUGCGUAUUACAGGAAUUCCUGCUCUAUCCAAACCCACGGCCCCACUAGCGGGUCUUGGUAACUCCGAAUGGGAGGUAUACAUGCCACUCAACAACCCUUGCGCCCCCACCUUAGACAAGAUGUUCGCCACCUGGUUUGCUUCUCGAAAACAAUGACCCACAGUCCAAUCCGAACCCAACAUUGAUUGGAUUGCCUCUACAUCAGAGCGAAUCAGCCAUGGACAUCUCGACUUGCCAGGGAGAACAUUUACUAAUGAACAUUUACUAAUGAACACCCACAGUCCACCUCCACCUGUACCCUGGAGACACCCCGUAACAGGCACUGCUGCACCCCAUAUAGCAACGACUUGGUUUCAGCUUGCAAACUUGUCGUCUACCCGAGGAGAAUGGAAAAACCAAAUAGCAAAUCACCAGAGGAGUCCCGAAGGACACCACACCCUCCACUAGGCCCUGGGUUACCUAAUGAACAUCCAUCCGUAUUUAACUUGUAGAUCCCCUGAAACGGCAGUUCCCAAUAUACCACCCUAUGGGAGUAUCGAGGCCUCCAUCCAUACAUACUAGAGUAAAAAGCAUGCCAGGAAACUGACAGGUUGUCAGCCUAUGAAAUAAUAAAACCUGCUUAAACUAAAAGUAAUUUCUGUAGAUAGCGGUGAGCAGGGUCGAAUCCACAGGGACUGGGGGUAAUUAUUUCUUUUCAAAUUCACAGUGACAAGGGGGUGUUUUUAUAUCAGGGGUGACAAUUUAAACAAUUCAACUAAAAAUAAAAUAAUAAAAAUAAAAUAGCCAACUAGAAAUUAAAUAACAAUUUACUAAAAUCUAAUGACUGAUAAUUAAGGAUCUAGCCAAGGAAUAACUUCAGCAAUGGUUCACCUAAUUGAUCAUCGAAGCAAAGGCAAUUCUAAUUAUUUAUUAAUAAAUAGGUUAUAACUGUCAAACAAGCGAUGACAGUCAACCCCUCCUUACUAUAUCGGUGAUCAAGUUACGCCCGUUAAUCACUUUUUUAAUUGAAAAACAAUCCUAGGUACGCCCGUAAGAUUUAAUUCCCCAAUUGCUUUACGUAUUAGAGGAGCCCUAUUCUAACCAAAUAACACACUACCAGGGUUAUUUCAGAUUAGCCUGCAUAUCCUCCUGACACAAACCAAAUCAUGCCAGUUGUCACUAUUUCAAGGCAAUUAAACAAUUACGAAUUUAAUACCCUAAUUGACAAUAGAUUACCGAAUCAAUUAAUUAUCCGGAUCCAAAAUAAUCAAUUAAUUAAAUAACCAUAAGCAUAGCAAUCAAGGAAUAUGCGAAUACCAAUAAUUAAAAGGAAAAGAUUAAAUUAAAUCGAUCUCACAAUUUUAGGCGAAUCAAAGCCUCCGUUGUCCCUGACUAGAGUGAAAAAUUAGUUCAUAUUUGAUACUAAAAACCCACACAAAGGUGUAGAAAAACCUGCGGCCAUUAUCCUUGAUCGAAAGAGUUCACUCCGUUCGAACAAAAGGAUGAAUAGCAGGUCUUCUGAGAAUGACUAAUUGGCUAAUUGAGUAAUACUUGUCUUGACAUACGGAGAAAUAAGAGCUACUUGAGCCCACAAGAAAAAGUCAAAAGAAGCUAAGCUAAAAGAGACACAAUCAAAAGCUAAGCUAAAGGUAGUGCUUGCCCUCUGCACAAUCUUCCUAUCUAAAAGUCAUGCUACUUGCGGCGGCUCCUGUGUGUGGAGAGGAAGAAGCCUCUCGACGACUGCCCAGGUUUGCUUUCUUUUCCCCUUUUUUAGUUGCUGUCUUCGGUCAAAAUUACCAAAAAGGUCUUGCAUCUCCUUGUUCCAAGAAUGCCCUUGAUUGCCUGCUAUUUGAACUCUUUCCUGAUAACUGUUAAAUUGGCACUUAUUAUGGUAUUUUCGUUCUACUCCCUGAAAUAUAUGCCAAAUACUAAAAGUGAGCAGAAUCCAGCAAUUAAUCCACAUCGGGUCAGGUAAUAGGGAAAAUUAAUAAUAAAAUAAAUGAUAAAAUUGCAACCUAUCAAUUCCCCCCACACCUAAACCAUGCUUGCCCUCAAGCAUGAGAACAACAAACAAAUACCAAUAUUUGAUAGUGGCUACUGCUCUAUCCACCAAAUUGCCAAGAUAUCAAGAAAAAUAAUAAUCAAGCAUCGAUGGUCAAGUCCAAGAAACAUCACUCUGGUUAGCUUCUAAACCAUAAACUCUUCCAAUUUCAGGUUAACUAAUCUAAGAAAAAGGAGUGGUCGCUCAAUAUUUAUCAGCGAAUGGUCCAACUAUUAACCAAAAUCUCAACAUUAAAUCCAUAAAUCGGCAAGCUGACUUUUAUCACACAUUAACACAACCAUUACCUUUUUUCCAUAUUUUUCUUUUUUUCCUUUUUUUUCAAUAGUAACACAAGACUUAGUCUUAUAGCCAUGGGAGCCUUUUGACGCGAACUCCAACAUUUGCCAGAUGAAGGAGCCUAGUUACUCAACUCCUAUCGCUAUACGACCACGUACUCAUAGAAAUUACUACUUUUUGACGCGAGAAUCGACACUUUUGGUGAAGAUCCCCGGUUACUCAGUAGUAAAAACUAGCUGAGUACAGCCAACUCUUAUUCUCAACUAAAUAACACAAAAACUCAAUAUAACACAAAAAUCAAAAGAAAAUUUGCAUCAGCUAUCCUCAUUUUCAAAUAUGGAGAACUAAGGUUAAUAACUGGACCAAUUCACAUGAAAAUGCCAACAAUCAUUCCCUAUGCCUAGGAAAGUUGACCAAAAGUUAAAAGAGUAAAACAAUCGCUGAUAUUCACCAAAGAGAUAUUCUUGGACUCAACCACAUUAACUUGAUACACUUUUAUUAUUAAAACUUGGCAAUAGCAGAAUUAGAGUCAACAAUCCAACAUCAAACUUUGGUAUUCAUUAAAAAAAAAGUAAACGAAGACUAGACAAAUAACAAACUAGCAAUAAAAGAAGGACAUCUGAAAACUAAAAACUGGUAUAGCUGUCCCUCCCCCCAUACCUAGAUCCUACAUUGUCCUCAAUGGAGGAAAUAAAAUAAUUAAAGCGAAGAGGAUAACGAAACUUCCCCCUCGAGUGGUUAAGGGGUAUUUGGUAGCUACGGAGGGAAACCAACAUGGUGAAGGUACGAGGCCACGUUCUGAGACAUCCUUGCCCAUUGGCGGGCAAUGUUCGUCAUUCGCUCAUCUACGUUGUGAACCUGUGCUUGUAAGUGGCGCCACUCACCAUUUUCGCCAAUUAUCAUUCCAAACAACCAAAGACAGAAUAUCCAACAAAGAUAGCAAUCACAAAUGCACAUUCAUAGUCACUGGUGUUCCCCAACUCAACAAUCAAAAGCAAACAUGGGCCACCCAAGCCCAAAUAUGGUCAACAAAGCAACAGUUGCACUUCAAAAUCAAAAACCAGAAACUAUUAUCAAUAACUGGAAACUAGCAAAGUCACGUCAAUAAGCACAGGAACUACCCAAUUUAGUCAGUCAACAAGCAAACUUGGGACAUCCACAAUAUCAACAAAUGCACUCUAAGAUUGUAACAAAUGCCCCCAUCAGUCAAACCAUAACAAUUGCCCCAAUAAUAUGCCAAAUUCAGCAAUAGAGGUUCAAGAAUUUAGUAAUAGUAACACAAUCACAAGCCCUUGGCUAUCAGCCAAAUAUCCAAACAAAUACAGUGAGCAGAUUCAAGGAAAAACAGUCCAACCAGUACCACUGGUGAAAAAUUAAGUGUACCACUUCACCACCCGAAAUCGUAGCAAAAACCCCAAGAAGCCAACAAUUCAAGCAAUAAUAAUUCCGUAAGCUAACAGUAGCACCACAGAAAUUAGCAAUGGAAGACGACAGUCAAGGCACGCCCAAUAGUUCACUAGAAAGCGAAGAAAUCCACUAAUAAUGUCGCAUCGAACCCAAAAGGCACUGAUGUCCCACAAUUGGAACAAAUAAAGAUAACCCAAACACCAGUGCAACCCCAGAUACUGGAACUCGAUUUAACCAGAUAAUGUGGCCAUGGAGGCUUCAAUUGAGUCUAACAAUUAAGUCCCAGAAAGGAUGCUCCAAAUAAUUGGGUAUAAGUUCGAGAGGGGUAAAUACCUCCGCCGCGAAUAGUGGCCAAACAAAAUCUCUGGUAGAGGCUGAAGGCGACGUAGCGAAGUGGGCAGAGGAGGUGGCGCGCUGCCCGAGGGUCAAGAGGGGAAGAGAGGCCGCAGCUGUGGCGGCGUGCUCCUUCGAGUGGCGGUGGUCACGGGUGUGUUAGUGGAGGGUUGCGUCUGGUUGCUGAGGAGAGAUCGCGCGCACAAGCUCAAAACGAGAGAGGCAGAGGGCGAGUUGCUCCUGGGGUAGUGGAGGCGUCACCUGUGGAUCGAGGACGUGGGCUGGGCUCGCGGUAGGAGGCAGCGGCAUGUGGUGGAUUUUCAGUGGCUGUCGCGGGCUAGGGAGACGGUGGCGAUGGAGGAGAGCAGCGACGGCGCUGGCUGCACCGUGGGCUGCAGGCUGAUGUCGUACGAGGAGAAGCUGGGGUCGCGGCUACUGGCAGCGCUGUUGGCGAUGCGGUGGCCAGGGAUGGAGAGAUGCACGUGGAGAGCUCUUUCCCGCGAAUGUGACGCGGGCACGUCAUGAAAGCACGGAAUGAGGAGCUCUCCAGGUGACUUGACGCGGGCACAUCAUGAGGACAAAAACCUUUUCUGACGAAUCUGACCAUGAGCUUUCCAGGUGACUUGAUGCGGGCACGUCAUGAGGACAAGAACCCCUUCUGACGAAUCUGACCAUGAGCUCUUCAUGGGACUUGACGCGGGCAUGUCAUAAGGAUCGAAAUCCUUUUUACUAAGUACCAGAAAAUCGCAAUGUGCCACGUGCCCAGUUGACGCGGGCACGUCAUGUCAGAGGGAUGCCUAUGAAUCAUCACAAACGAAAAUUGAAACCAUAAAUCAGUCAAAUCCAAGGAAAAACAUAUUUAAACUAACAAACAAAAAUGAACAAACAACUAAAAGGAAUUGGGUUGCCUCCCAAUGAGCGCCUUUCUUUAAUGUCUUUGGCUAGACAUCAUCAUGUUUUGUUCAUGGAGGAUAAAAUCUUGUGGCUCGUCUUAAUGUUUCAUCCUCUAUAUAGUCCUGAUAGCCCUUGUAAAUAGAAUAAUUCUUGAGUACACGAGUUACGGGCUUCCAUGGACUAGUAAAUGGCGCCAAACAAGUCAACGAUAAUUUGCAUUCUCCACUCACUCCUCCAUCACUUGCAUUUAUUGGUUCAAGAUAUCUUGAUAUCGCCACUCUUAAUUUAUUCCUGUCAUGAAAUUCAAAAUUUUCUGGUAUAAUAAAGUCAAUUUCAUUAACAGAAAUUGAAGAAUAAGAGUCAAGAGAAUAUUGAUUAAGGAAUGGAGCAGAUGUCACCGCAUUUGGAGAUUGUUCACUGGAUUCAUUCACUUGGACGCAUUGAUAUUGGGUCUUAUUUCUUGCACUUCACUUUCCUUUUCAACUGCAUCUUUAGAUCCAUUUUCUUGAAACUUUUGCAGUCCCAUGUCAUUUGACCGGAUAAUUGCACUCUCAUCUUCUUCAAGGUUGAUAUUGGUUUGUGAGGGCAAUUUUUCAAGGUGAGAAGCUAAUCGCGCUAUCCUGGAUGUCAAUUGAUUCAUUUGAUCCGCCAUCGCUUGUAACUCCUGUUGAGAUCGAUAUGAAUUAGCAGUUAGUAAUUCUAUCAUUUCUUCAAGAGACAUACCUGACACGGAAGAUGAUUGCUGAGACUCUUGCUGUUGGAAAUCCAUUGGCCCGGUCGCAUAAUUAAAAUUGAAAUUAUCCCACUAUCCUUGAUCAUACCUGUUUGGAUAAGGGUCAUACCACGUUUGAAAUCGAGGUGAAAAAUCUCAAAAGUAUAAAUUGGAGCACUUAGAUUCUCUUAAAAUGCAGGGCAUGUGUCGGUUGAAUAACCUGAGAAGUUCCACAAUUUGCAACACCCUAUUGAUCAUUAGGAAAAACACGAGUCUCAUAACCCCAUUCAGGAAUAAAGUCCAGUCUAUCAUCAAAAUAUGGAAUGUUAGCAACCAUAAACUAUAUAAAAAAAAGAGAGAAAAAUAAAUAAAAAAAUAAAAACAAAAUGAACUAAAAAAGAAACAAAUUAAUCAGGCACCAGUCCCUGGCAACGGCGCCAAAAAUUGACAGGUUGUCAGCCUGUGCAAUAAUAAAACCUGCUUAAACUAAAAGUAAUUUCUGUAGAUAGCGGUGAGUAGGGUCGAAUCCACAGGGAUUGGGGGUAAUUAUUUCUUUUCAAAUUCACAGUGACAAGGGGGUGUUUUUAUAUCAGGGGUGACAAUUUAAAUAAUUUAACUAAAAGUAAAAUAAUAAAAAUAAAAUAGCCAACUAGAAAUUAAAUAACAAUUUACUAAAAUUUAAUGAGUGAUAAUUAAGGAUCUAGCCAAGGAAUAACUUCAGCAAUGGUUCACCUAAUUGAUCAGCGAAGCAAAGGCAAUUCCAAUUAUUUAUCAAUAAAUAAGUUAUAACUGCCAAACAAGCGAUGACAGUCAACCCCUCAUUACUGUAUCGGUGAUCAAUGUACGCCCGUUAAUCACUUCUCUAAUUGGAAAACAAUCCUAGGUACGCCCGUAAGAUUUAAUUCCCCAAUUGCUUUACGUAUUAGAGGAGCCCUAUUCUAACCAAAUAACGCACUACCAGGGUUAUUUCAGAUUAGCCCGUAUAUUCCCCUGACACAAACCAAAUCAUGCCAGUUGUCACUAUUUCAAGGCAAUUAAACAAUUACGGAUUUAAUGCCCUAAUUGACAAUAGAUUACCAAAUCAAUUAAUUAUCCGGAUCCAAAAUAAUCAAUUAAUUAAAUAACCAUAAGCAUAGCAAUCAAGGAAUAUGCGAAUACCAAUAAUUAAAAGGAAAAGAUUAAAUUAAAUCGAUCUCAUAAUUUUAGGCGAACCAAAGCCUCCGUUGUCCCUUGACUAGAAUGAAAAAAUUAGUUCAUAUUUGAUGCUAAAAACCCACGCAAAGGUGUAGAAAAAGCUGCGGCCAUUAUCCUUAAUCGAAAGAGUUCACUCCGUUCGAACAAAAGAACGAAUAGCAGGUCUUCUGAGAAUGAUUAAUUGACUAAUUGAAUAAUACUUGUCUUGACAUACGGAGAAAUAAGAGCUACUUGAGCCCACAAGGAAAAGUCAAAAGAAGUUAAGCUAAAAGAGACACAAUCAAAAGCUAAGCUAAAGGUAGUGCUUGCCCUAUGCACAAUUUUCCUAUCUAAAAGUCAUGCUACUUGCGGCGGCUCCUGCGUGCGGAGAGGAAGAAGCCUCUCGACGACUGCCCAGGUUUGCUUUCUUUUUCCCUUUUUUAGUUGCUCUCUUCGAUCAAAAUUACCAAAAAGGUCUUGCAUCUCCUUGUUCCAAGAAUGCCCUUGAUUGCCUGCUAUUUGAACUCUUUUCUGAUAACUGUCAAAUUGGCACUUAUUAUGGUAUUUUCGUUCUACUCCCUGAAAUAUAUGCCAAAUAUUAAAAGUAAGUAGAAUCCAACAAUUAAUCCACAUCGGGUUGGAUAAUAGGGAAAAUUAAUAAUAAAAUAAAUGAUAAAAUUGCAACCUAUCAGAAACAAACCCAUCCGUGGAAUGUUGGUAACAUCACUUUGUUUCCUAAAAGGCUUGUUGGUAACCUACUAGCUGAAAUAAGGACUUCAAGCUAAUAGCCAUCACCAUUCUUGACAAUGAUAAUUAAUGGGUAUAAAUGAAGAUAUUAAACAUAAAUCAUGUUUAAGGAUGCAUCAUACCACAGAAACAAUCUUGCAUUCUCAGAAGUUAUCAGGCUUCCCAUUUUCACAAUCUCUAUAUAGUAUGAAGUAGAACAGCAAAAAGGCAAGCUUUGAAUUAACAAUUCAAUUGCUCAGAAACUACCAUAACUUAAAACUGAAAACAACCCAACCUUUAGGAGGAAUAGCUCUUCAUCAUUCUUGAAAGAUCUCAGAUUAGAAAAACUGCACUUAAAGAGGUGUCCUGGGCUAGCAACGCAGGGGAAAGUGUUCAGAAGAAAGGGCUGUGAUGCUUCCCGAAGGAGAGUAAAUCUUGUCUACAAACCCAGUUGAAGGAGAUUCAUAUGUAUGAGCAUCUUGCAAUUCUGCCAUUAUCCUCCAUACGUCUCCAGCUCCAUGAUAAGGACCUGCAACAAGAACAAACAUUGUUCCAGGAAGUAAAAUGACAUUAUAUCAGAAAAAAAGGAAGAGUGAACAGAAAUAAUUGUAAGCAAUCAACUAAAGAACGUUGUCCUCAUUGAGAAAUAUCAACGAACAACUAUGUUGCAUAGUCCCUCAAAUUGGGAUGUUACAAUAACAAAAAAAACGAAAAGAAAUUUGAAUUGCAUUGAACAUCAAAACAAUCUAGAUUAAGCUAGCUGAUGAACAGUGAACUGAACAACAACAAUCCGAUUACUCAAAAAGGGUUCAAAUUUUGCUAAAAUUAGUAUACUUGUGUAGUCAAUUCACAUAUGAAUUGCACGAACCAAUACAAACUUAUUAAAAAAAAAACCUAGAAAUAUAAAUCACAACCUAGCUUAAAUAUACACUGAAAUUCGCUACAUACAUGCGAAAAAUAAUCACAGUCAAAGAAGUGAUUUUUCCACCAAGUAGAUUACAUAGGGAUAAAUUGAAGAAGACUAAAAAAGAAAAAGCCUGAAACAUCCAUAGAUUGCACAUCAUUUCUUAUAAAUUCUAAAUUAUAGAUAGAAUAUGAAAAAAAAAGGUAAAAUAUGUUUUGAGGGACAAGGAAUCCUCUGCCACCAGCAACAACUUAAUUUCAACAGAAUCUAAAACUACCAUCUUAUUAAAUUAUUUCAUGAGUCACCAUCUAAUUAGCUGCAAAAUACUUCAGGGAAUAGUAGAAACUAAUUGUCAUAAACAUUAACUUACAUCUCUAAGUAGCAUAAUGUUGUUAGUGAAGCCAAUACAGUCAAAAAAUAUGAAGUCUCGACACAAAUGCAAACAUGAAAAUAAAAAAGAGAAAAUAAUAAAAGUAAACAAAAGAAAUCAAGAUCAAACCAGCUGUAAAAGUGACUGUAUUUCUUUUUUCUUUACCCAAAGCCUCUAGCCACUCAGGCUAUAGAUGAUUCACCGCCAUGAACAUCAAGCCUCAAACCUCACCACUAUAUAUUUUACCCUAUUAAAAUCACCCAUCUUGGAUGCUUUAAUUUGCACUACGAAGAGAGGUAAUUCAAAGAUAUCCGACGCUUUAAUGUCCACCUCAGAUGUAAUUUGGGGAUGGUAAGUAGAUGGCAAACCAAUUUCUAAGUUAAAUCCCAAAUUAAGAAUCAAAAUCCUAAAUUAAAUUUCACUGCACGUUUUUAUGAAAGAGAUAGAAAUUGAUUGAGAUUUGGGAGAACAUCUGGGAAGGCAACACAACUAAAGACGGAGAAUCAGUAGGGAGAAGAAAAGGGAAAUGGGGGCAAACCUCGAUAAGCUUUCUCCGUCAGCCGAUUGCUGUAGUAGAGAGGAGUGAGAAGUGGGAGGGGAGAGGACAAAGGAAGGUGGCAAUUUUGGACAGAGGAAUUGUAGCAUCCUCCAUUGCAGCAUACUUUUCACACCGGCAUCGAUCUAUCCACAUAUAUCUCCUCAAAAGACACAUAUUUUCGCUUGACUGGCAUUAUACAUAAACCAGAAUCGAGAAUUGCAUCAUGUUAUCAAUCAUCCAUCCUAUUAUUUAACAAAGGAUACACUGAUUGGGAUGCAAAGUUCACUACCAUUAAACAGGCGUACAGACUUAACUCAACCAGCAACAAGAGAGAAUAACUUUUCAGAAGGAAGCAAUGCAAAACAGGAGAACGGAAAGUAUACCUAUUUCUCACAAUCCCAGCACUAUUAUACGAAAAUGCAACUUUAAUUCAGCCUACAAUAACAGAAAGUUACCUUCCAACAGCAGCAACAAAAAGUAGUCAGACAAAACAAAGUCGAAGUAUUCCACAGCCACACCACGCACCUGCACAAUUAAGAGCAAGAUCAUAACCCAAUUAAAACAGACAUUAUAAAGGCGAAAUAAAAACUCUAAUCAAUAUGCAUACAACUACUGAAGCCACAAUAUAUUAAAAACACACAACCACAACUAAGCCACCACCGUUGAACCAGAAGAAAUCAAAAUCAACACAACAAGCAAAAGCAUAACAAAUAGAAACCAAAAAUUUAAGGAGUCAAUUCAUUGAGUCCAAUCUCCCAGGGAACCAUAAAAAAAACCAAUAAAUAAGGUUGCUCUACGUCCACGCAUUGGAAACAAACUCAGUUCAAUUCAACCUGAGAAACGCAAGUGCAAAAGCUAAAUGGACUCCUAUGGCGAAAUGGAGGAUCGGUCUGAAGUGAAAGAAAGAAAACCAGGAGAAACUCCUGGGACCUUAAUGGGUGCCAAGAUGGCAGAACUACAAAAACGGAAGGAGAAACUCACGAAGGCUAAGGAUGAGGCGGUACAAUCGUGGUCAGAUUCCAGACCUAUGAUUGAUGAGCUUGAAAAGCUGCAGUCGGAACUUGCUGAUGCACAGAGUCGAACAGCCUCAUCCAACGUUACUAUUUCAGAGCUUGACUCUCAGCUUGAAAGGUUGAGUAUCUCUAUCAGGGCUAAGGAGGAGGAAGAACUGAAGAUCCGAACAAUGAUCAACAGGAUAAAUCAGGUCUUGCAACAGACGUAGGAAGAGAUGGAGGAGUUCAAGAUGGAAAGAGAUGAAAAACACAGAACAGGAUUGAAACUAAAGCAAGUUCUAUGUCUAAGGUGACAGACUCUUCGCACUUUGCAACUCACCCUCAGAGCAAUACGAUUAGAAUCAGAAGCUUAUGCUGCAUCAGCUCAUGAAGCACGACGCUACAUCAGCCUUUUCCAGACAGAUGACACUAUGGUCCAGCUUACUCAAGAAGAGUACCAUGCAUUAACAAAAAGAGCAAGAGACGAAACUUCGUUGGCAGAAUGGCGAAUUGCAGUCUCUAUGGAACAAAAGCAGGCAGCCGAGGAAAGCCAAGAGACAGCUGCUAGAAGAUUGCAGAACUUGUAUUCAAAGAAUGGAUCAGGGAAAAGGAAACAUCCCGCUAAUGGGGUCUUAAAAGUUUAAAGAGCAAUUUUCUACAAUUAAUGUCAAUAUAAUUUGUAAUCGUAUUUGUGAGAGGAAAAUUUGAAGGUUGUGCUUUUGUUGUAUUAUAAAUUUAAUCACAACUUCUAACCAAAUUUAUUUUAACAACACAAAUAAAAAAUCGUACUUGGUUAAAUAUUGAAUUCCGCUAUAUAAGAUUUUUGUAAUACUAACAAUAGUUGUUCUUGUAAUGACAACUAACAAUGGAAUAUAUUAUUUUGUUCGCUAAAUAAUAUUAGCUGAUUAUAUACGUGCAUAGCACAUGAUUUUUUCUAGUAAUUUGAAGUGUUCUAGAGAUACCAUUAGGAAUAAAGUUUACGAAAUGUGGCAUGAGCAGGUGAGCUUUGUCCGAUCUUUUAGGUUGGUAUAGUUCUUAUUAUUGGUAAACCCUAUUAAUUCUUUUUAAACAAACUUACUGCUUCAUUAGAUAAAAACUACGAUACAUUUGGCAAAUUCUACUAGUUUCCAGGCAAAUUCUACUAGUUUCCCAUUUAAAUGAGAUUCACAAUCUGGAAAAUCAUUUUUAUUUUUUUUUAUAAUCUCCCCGCAAUUUACAAUGAGUUCAGAGUGCUACCUUUGGUCAAUUUAGAAGAAUUUCCAUAAAGUCAUAAAAUAUCACAUAAGCAUUUUCAGAAGUAAUGUGACAAUCUUUUUAAAACGGCAUUGUGUGUCACUUGUCACCCGUUUCGAUGUUCCAUUGCCAUUGGAUGCAUUUCUAAGGCCUCGCUUGAAUACUUAAAUUAAUUUAUGUUUCUUUUUUCUCAAGCCCUAAAUAUAAAUUUGAAAUAACCUAAUCAACAAUAUAAAGCAAACAAUUUAGUAGAGCGAAAUGAAAAGAACUCUGAAACACAUAAUGUAGUCAUAAUCGGCGUUUUACAACGCCUUUUUUUAUUUUUUCAAUUUUUUUUCUUUUUUUGGGUUUUUUGUUUUGACUUUGAUGUACCCCUAACUAUUACACAUAGAUAAAAAGGAAAGAGAGAAAUUUACUACAUAAGACCCUAUGUAGCACGAAAAAACAAAGUAGACCUUGCACUGAAAACAUUAGCAGACACAACUACUGAUAAUCAUAGACUGAAUGGACACCAUUUUAUUUUGUUUUUCCUUUUUUUCAAUUUUUUUUUCUUUUAUUGCGGUACCAAACGACUGAAGGAUGAUGGUAAUGAGUGCAUCCACCCUAAUUAGGGCAAAUUUCGAUGCCCUUGAUAAUAAUGCCAGACUUCCAGAUUGUAUCACUGGUUUGAAAAAUCCUAGCUUCUGCCGUGGAACUUCUUCCGCGGUUGUUGACGAAGUCACCCAAGUUCAAUUCCUUCCAUCCAUCACUACGGGGUUGAGGAUAUAUGCCCGGAUCCUUCGAAUCUUGUGACUUGUCAAUGAACACACUAUAACCUUCAUCAUCAGUUCCCUUAGCCUUUUCUUCAGUAAAUCUAACCGAUGCAGUUGCUUUUUCAAGUCCCUUUGGCUUGGCAUUAAGUUUGAACACGAGAUAUGUUGAAUAGGAGCUGCCCCAUGGGAGUUGGGCUGUCAACGGGCCGGGUCCGGGUCGGAAUUCAUUAUUCCGGACCCAGACCCGAAUUACUAUACCGGAUCCGACCCGUUUACCCGACGGGUCUUUUAUUCUAUGUUUCGGAUCCGGAUUCGGCGGGUCCCGGGUCCGGGUCGGGUCUACCCGCACAAAUUUAGCAAAAUUUAUAAAUUCUAAUAAAAAUGAGAAAAAAAUAUAUUUGUAAACUAAUUUCUAACUAAUGCAAAGAAAAAACCAAAUAAGCAAAGAAAUCAAAUUGACUUUACUCAAAUACAUCACCCUAAUCAAAUUAUAUUGAUAAAUAUAUAUUUUUUAAAUUAUUAAUUCAUUUAUAUCCGGAUCCGGGUCUAAUACGGGUCGGAAUACUAUAUUCCGUAUUCGACCCGUUUUUUUGUUUGACAAAACGGAAUUAAAUCCCUACCCAUACCCGCAAUAAUUUCACGGAUCCGGUCCGGAUCCGGGUCUAGACCCGACCCGUUGGCAGGCCUACUUGAGAGGUCCCUAGCAGGGACAUUGGUUCGAAUGUCAAACCAGCAAACUUCAACAAGCUCGGCAACCUCGAAGCUGUACAAAGGCAUUAAAAUCAGUUUAGGAUAAUCUUCGAAAGUCAUCAACUAACUAAAGGGAGAAGUGAGAUAAUAAUAUAAAUGCAAUAGGACUAUAUACAGGACGGGUAUGUGUGAAGUAAGUUCAGGAGGUUUACCCAGAAGGUACAUCAGUGUACCACUUCCAAUAGCGUUUAUCAUUACCGUGAUAAAUCACUAGAUCCCUCGCGUUGAUGGUGUAAGCCUGUGAUGGAAAAUUGAGCAUCGACAAGUUAAUUAAUCUUUAAAGGCAAAAUAACAAAAGACUGAUGAGUAGUUCUCGUAUUGAUGCAAACUAAUAACGACUGUUAUAGCUAGUUAUAUACCAUGUUGAAUAGAUGCAGCUCUGGAGUAGUGUUGGAAGGACCGUACGUUUUGUGGAAUGAGGGAUUGAAGAUUGGGGGAAUGGAUAUUUAUAGGCCUAUCUGAUUAAGUAACGUUUUGCAGAUAUUUCCACUCUGAGCUCAUCAGAGAUGUGUAGAAACGUGUUUCGUGCUGGUGUGAAGGUCAGAUGCUGAUGUGAAUGAGGGUGGCCUCUCACAAACCCCAAAUAUGACCAAGUACUAAGCUAUACGCUCCGCCACUUGAAAGUGUAACCAACCAACCUUAGUAUCAACAGUCAUAUAUCUUUAUCAUAGUCUGCUGUAUCAAUAUACACUAUUCUUUUCCUAAUGAAUUCACCUUCCUAUUUGUAGCGCUGAAUACAUUUGGCUAAUUCUCGUUUUGAUAUUUCACAUGAUUAUAAAUUAUGAUUUUAAAUAAUGUGUUUUUCUUGUGUUCUAGUUUUCUUUUUUGUCUAGAUCCUGGAUUUUUCACAUUCGGAAAAAGCCACGAUCUUGAAUCUACCAAAGAUCAAGCAGCUCUAUCAGAGUCCAAUUAUUCUCUGCCAUCUCUUUCUAUAGUCAAUUUUUGUAAAAACCAUAGUGAAUGCUUAUGGGAAAGUCUUCUUUGCAUGUCUAAAGAUUAGAUGAUAAAAUGAAAAUGGUAGAGCUGGUAAAUGGCACAAUUGGCAAUGUAAAAGAAGGAUAGAGCUUGCAUCAUAGGAAAAACAUCGGAUUUGUACCAUGGAAACUGUAGCAUUUCAAUUUUUUUUCUCGCACACUUGUUCAAAAAAUUUAGCAUAAUUGAAGAAAACAAAAGAUAUAAAGAGGCAAACAAAGAAAAGGAUUGAAGAUUGCCAAGGAAAAGGAAUUAUUUGAAGAGUCUUAACGAUACCAUUAAGGAUAAAUUUAAGGAUACGGAGCAGGUGUAAUUGUGUUUUGUCCAGUUUUAUUUGUAUGGUAUAAAUCAUACAAAAUUUAAUGUAAACUCACAUGACUUUCAUGUAGUUAUUGGUGCCGUUGAUGUAUGUAGAUUAGCUCUAUAUACAAAAUAAAUAUACAAAAUAGAGUCUUAUAACAAAUAUACAAAAUCUUGUAAGAAUUACGAUAACGGGACAAAAUUGAAUAAAGCUUAACUAUACUUGUACCCUUGCAAAAUUUUUAUGUUGUGUGAACGCACUUGGUUGGUUUGACCUGCUGGCAAAUACCUAAAUGAACUCUUGUCCAAGAAAAACCUUUCCGACACCUCUAGUUGUUACUAGAUACUACAUUAUAGACUCAUCACUUGAGGAAAAGUUGGGAGGAAUUUUUUUUUUUGGUCAAGGUCAAGACUUAACAAAAGGCCUUUAUGGGAUAGAAGAAUCAUUUUACGUCCAAAACGGGACACAUAAAAGUCUAUCAAGACCAAGACUUAUAAAAAAGACGUACACUAUACUGUACACUUACAAUACAUAUUUCAAAAAUAAAUUAAUUAGUUAAAUACUUGCUAAAUCAAGCAAUUUUGUCAAGACCAACAUUGUAAAUAGCUGUAGACUAGUAGUAAUAUGAACAUCACACUUAAAAGUUUUGAAAUUUCACAAGAUGCGACAAGUGAAAAUUGUGCAAAGUGACAUGAAAGCAAGAUUCUAGAUCAAAAUAGUUGUUACUUAAUUUAAAUUCGCAGAUUCAUUCAUCCAAAAAAAAAUUUUCACAGAUUCAAAUAGAAAAUCUGAAUGAUAAAAAGACAAUAACAUAAAUUAGCCAAAAUCACUAGCGCAAAUUCCACUGUUCAUUUAAAAAAACUUACUAUUAUAAUUGCAAAGUUCACCUUGCCUUUCCUAGUUGUUACCACAUUUUUGGUAAAUCAUAUUAAUUUUUUGAACAAACUUUCUACUUCAUUAGCUAAGCACUGCAAUUCAGUUUGGUAAACCCUACUACUUUUCCAACAAAUGAGAUUCAAAAUUUGGAAACUAAAUUUUAUUUUUUUAUCAUCUCCGAACAAUUUAGUAUUAGUUCAUACAAAUUUUGGUCAAUUUCGGAGAAUGGUCAUAAAUUGAUAGAAAUUCAAACAGGUAUUUCUAGGAAGUAAUGUUACAGUUUCUUUUAAAAUAGGAUUAUAUAUCAUUUGGUAGCUAACGUGAUGUCCCGUUGACAUUCGAUGCACUGCUACGGCCUUUCUUAGGUAUUGCAAUUAAUUAGGGUUGGCACUUGAAACCUAAAAGAGCCUAAUCAACAAGGUUGAAAACAAACAAUUCGUUAAAAUGAGAAUAAAAAGCUCCAAACCACACAAUGCGCAGAUGUUGCUUUGGAGUUUUGGAGGGACUAUUUCAUUGAAAGAGGAUUGAAGAUUGAGGAAAUGGAUAAUUAAGUGGCCUUUGUGGAUAUUUCCACAGUGGCCUCAUCAUGGACAUCAAAAACGUGUUCCACGUUGGUCCUUCUCAUUCUUUUACACGUACUAAGAUAAACGUAAUCCUUGGCAAAAUUCACACCGUCGUUGGUUUAUCCUUCUAGUUGAAGGGCACAAAAUGUACCAAUCAUAGUAGUAGCUCCGACAAUGACAUUAGGUAACAUCAAUUGCUCAAUAUCCGUGAAUGCAAUGUUAAGUUAAAACUUAGAUUUUAGUUUUUUUUUUGUCAAAUAAAACUUAGAGUUUAGUUAUGACUACACUGAACUGCUAAACCAUCAUCAGGUCACAACGUUGCCACUCCAAUUAUACCCAAAAGAUUAUCAUGGUAACUUGCAAUCAAUUUGAAUCACACACCAUUCUCGAUAUAACUAAAUCAUGGAAUAUUUUGAACCAUAAUUCACACUUCGAGAUCCUAAACAUUGAUAAAUUACAAGUAUGAUAGGCUUAUUUGUUACCUACACUUGCGACUAUUUCUAGGAGAAUAAGAAAUUCCAUAGGCCCAUUGAUCAAGGAAGUUCGUUUAAAUAUAUCACCAUGAAUCUUGUGAAAUAACAUAUUUCCAGUAUACACAAUCCGACUAGUUAGUUGAAUAUGUCAAAUAUUAAUUGAUAUGAAUCAAUCAUCAUAAAUGCCAAACAAUCAUCUGAAGACACCAAUCAAUCAUGUCAGUUACCUUAUGUCCAAAAAGAUUGAAUCAAUAGUUAGUUAUAUUUUCCAUAAAAAAAAAAAACAAGCCUUGUUGUCAGUUAUGUUUUCCGCGAGUAUCUUGUCAGGAAAACAAACCAUAAAUGGAGGAAUCUUGUAGACCUCAGAAGAAUGUUAGAGACGAGGUUUUUUCUUUGCACUAAAUUUUAAAAAUCUAAAUAUUCUAUUUUUUGCAAGUAUACAGAUUGUUUAUCAAGAAUAGGACAUAUUAGGUAUGGAUCUCAGAGGCAAGAUUGUCAAUUACUGAUGAUUUUCAAACUUCUUUAUUAUUUAAGUUAUCACAAAUACAAGAAAAUAAAUCUACUUUACAAACAUGAAAUAAAAGGAGUAAAAAUAGCAAUAGAAAGCUUCUGGGGCUAUGGCAUUCCUAACUAGGGUGAUGAUAUCUCUAGAACUUACUCCUUCGAAAGACUCCUCAAGAGGGGUUAAAUGUGAAUCAUUCAUGCUCAUCUCUUGAUGUUCAACCUUAGUUUCAAAGAUACAAUCAUGUAAAAUGGACAUUUCGUCAUUGGAACACAAAUUAUAUUCAUCAUUUUGAUCAAAAUGCAAUCCACUUUCACAUACAACAUUCCCACCAUUCACAAUAGGAUCAACUUACAUAUUAUUAGAAGAUAUAACUUCACACAAGGCAUGUCUUAAAUUCUACCAAAUUGAGAAGCUAAUUCAUCUAAUAUAUUCUCAACCCUAUCAAAAUGGUCAGAAGUCGUAUUAGCUAACCUUUCAAUUGCUAAUUUCCAAGACAAAAGUGCAUUAACUAACCUUUCAAUUGCUAACUUCCAAAAUGGCUUUGAUUCAAGUUGGACAAAUUCGAAUUGGUAAUUAUGAAAAUACAGAGGAGCAUUAUAUCUACAUUGAUUAUCUCAACUAUAAACAUAAGAAUUAUCCCAAUUAGGAUCAUAUUGAUCAAAACAAGGAUUGAAAGGCUCAAAUUCAUCAUAAUAAUCUACAUUUUGUGCGUGUCUACAUGUACGAGUAGCAUGAUAAUCGCCACACAAGUUACAAAUUACAUGAUUAGAAUUAAAAAUAUUAACAUUUUUUUUCUUUUCUUUCUUUUUUUUUUAUUUGGCGAACCCCAUACACGGGGAGGGACGCCACCCCUGAAUAUUAUUAAUAAAAACCAUAAAAGACACAUACAAUGCCAAUCAAUCGAGCACAACCCUACUGCGUAUUACAGGAAUUCCUGCUCUAUCCAAACCCAUGGCCCCCCCUAGCGGGUCUUGGUAACUCCGAAUGGGAGGUAUACAUGCCACUCAACGACCCUUGCACCCCCACCUUAGACAAGAUGUCCGUCACCUGGUUUGCUUCUCGAAAACAAUGACCCACAGUCCAAUCCGAACCCAACAUUGACUAGAUUGCCUCUACAUCAAAGCGAAUCAGCCAUGGACAUCUCGACUUGCCAGGGAGAACAUUUACUAAUAGUAGAGAGUCCACCUCCACCUGUACCCUGGAGACACCCCGUAACAGGCACUGCUGCACCCCAUAUAGCAACGACUUGGUUUCAGCUUGCAAACUUGUCAUCUAUCCGAGGGGAAUGGAAAAACCAAAUAGCAAAUCACCAGAGGAGUCCUGAAGGACACCACCCCCUCCACUAGGCCCUGGGUUACCUAAUGAACAUCUAUCCGUAUUUAACUUGCAGAUCCCCUGAAACGGCAGUUCCCAAUAGACCACCCUAUGGGAGUAUCGAGGCCUCCAUCCAUACAUCCUAGAGUAAAAAGCAUGCCAGGAAACAAACCCAUCCGUGGAAUGUUGGUAACAUCACUUUGUUUCCUAAAAGGCUUGUUGGUAACCUACCAGCUGAAAUAAGGACUUCAAGCUAAUAGCCAUCACCAUUCUUGACAAUGAUAAUUAAUGGGUAUAAAUGAAGAUAUUAAACAUAAAUCAUGUUUAAAGAUGUAUCAUACCACAGAAACAAUCUUGCAUUCUUAGAAGUUAUCAGGCUUCCCAUUUUCACAAUCUCUAAAUAGUAUGAAGUAGAACAGCAAAGAGGCAAGCCCUGAAUUAACAAUUCAAUUGCUCAGAAACUACAUUUGCAGCACCUAUGAUAACUUAAAACUGAAAAUAACCCAACCUUUAGGAGGAAUAGCACUUCAUCAUUCUUGAAAGAUCUCAGAUUAGAAAAACUGCACUUAAAGAGGUGUCCUGGGCUAGCAACGCAGGGGAAAGUGUUCAGAAGAAAGGGCUGUGAUGCUUCCCGAAGGAGAGUAAAUCUUGUUUACAAACCCAGUUGAAGGAGAUUCAUAAGUAUGAGCAUCUUGCAAUUCUGCCAUUAUCCUCCAUACGUCUCCAGCUCCAUGAUAAGGACCUGCAACAAGAACAAACAUUGUUCCAGGAAGUAAAAUGACAUUAUAUCAGAAAAAAAGGAAGAGUGAACGGAAAUAAUUGUAAGCAAUCAACUAAAGAACGUUGUCCUCAUUGAGAAAUAUCAACGAACAACUAUGUUGCAUAGUCCCUCAAAUUGGGAUGUUACAAUAACAAAAAAAACGAAAAGAAAUUUGAAUUGCAUUGAACAUCAAAACAAUCUAGAUUAAGCUAGCUGAUGAACAGUGAACUGAACAACAACAAUCCGAUUACUCAAAAAGGGUUCAAAUUUUGCUAAAAUUAGUAUACUUGUGUAGUCAAUUCACAUAUGAAUUGCACGAACCAAUACAAACUUAUUUAAAAAAAAACCUAGAAAUAUAAAUCACAACCUAGCUUAAAUAUACACUGAAAUUCGCUACAUACAUGCGAAAAUUAAUCACAGUCAAAGAAGUGAUUUUUCCCACCAAGUAGAUUACAUAGGGAUAAAUUGAAGAAGACUAAAAAAGAAAAAGCCUGAAACAUCCAUAGAUUGCACAUCAUUUCUUAUAAAUUCUAAAUUAUAGAUAGAAUAUGAAAAAAAAGGUAAAAUAUGUUUUGAGGGACAAGGAAUCCUCUGCCACCAGCAACAACUUAAUUUCAACAGAAUCUAAAACUACCAUCUUAUUAAAUUGUUUCAUGAGUCACCAUCUAAUUAGCUGCAAAAUACUUUAGGGAAUAGUAGAAACUAAUUGUCAUAAACAUUAACUUACAUCUCUAAGUAGCAUAAUGUUGUUAGUGAAGCCAAUACAGUAAAAAAAUAUGAAUUCUCAGACACAAAUGCAAACAUGAAAAUAAAAAAGAGAAAAUAAUAAAAGUAAACAAAAGAAAUCAAGAUCAAACCAGCUGUAAAAGUGACUGUAUUUCUUUUUUCUUUACCCAAAGCCUCUAGCCACUCAGGCUAUAGAUGAUUCACCGCCAUGAACAUCAAGCCUCAAACCUCACCACUAUAUAUUUUACCCUAUUAAAAUCACCCAUCAUGGAUGCUUUAAUUUGCACUACGAAGAGAGGUAAUUCAAAGAUAUCCGACGCUUUAAUGUCCACCUCAGAUGUAAUUUGGGGAUGGUAAGUAGAUGGCAAACCAAUUUCUAAGUUAAAUCCCAAAUUAAGAAUCAAAAUCCUAAAUUAAAUUUCACUGCACGUUUUUAUGAAAGAGAUAGAAAUUGAUUGAGAUUUGGGAGAACAUCUGGGAAGGCAACACAACUAAAGACGGAGAAUCAGUGGGGAGAAGAAAAGGGAAAUGGGGGCAAACCUCGAUAAGCUUUCUCCGUCAGCCGAUUGCUGUAGUAGAGAGGAGUGAGAAGUGGGAGGGGAGAGGACAAAGGAAGGUGGCAAUUUUGGACAGAGGAAUUGUAGCAUCCUCCAUUGCAGUAUACUUUUCACACCGGCAUCGAUCUAUCCACAUAUAUCUCCUCAAAAGACACAUAUUUUUGCUUGACUGGCAUUAUACAUAAACCAGAAUCGAGAAUUGCAUCAUGUUAUCAAUCAUCCAUCCUAUUAUUUAACAAAGGAUACACUGAUUGGGAUGCAAAGUUCACUACCAUUAAACAGGCGUACAGACUUAACUCAACCAGCAACAAGAGAGAAUAACUUUUCAGAAGGAAGCAAUGCAAAACAGGAGAACGGAAAGUAUACCUAUUUCUCACAAUCCCAGCACUAUUAUACGAGGAUGCAACUUUGAUUCAGCCUACAAUAACAGAAAGUUACCUUCCAACAGCAGCAACAAAAAGUAGUCAGACAAAACAAAGUCCAAGUAUUCCACAGCCACACCACGCACCUGCACAAUUAAGAGCAAGAUCAUAACCCAAUUAAAACAGACAUUAUAAAGGCGAAAUAAAAACUCUAAUCAAUAUGCAUACAACUACUGAAGCCACAAUAUAUUAAAAACACACAACCACAACUAAGCCACCACCGUUGAACCAGAAGAAAUCAAAAUCAACACAACAAGCAAAAGCAGAACAAAUAGAAACCAAAAAUUUAAGGAGUCAAUUCAUUGCAAUCCAACCUCCCAGGGAACCAUAAAAAAAACCAAUAAAUAAGGUUGCUCUACGUCCACGCAUUGGAAACAAACUCAGUUCAAUUCAACCUGAGAAACGCAAGUGCAAAAGCUAAAUGGACUCCUAUGGCGAAAUGGAGGAUCGGUCUGAAGUGAAAGAAAGAAAACCAGGAGAAACUCCUGGGACCUUAAUGGGUGCCAAGAUGGCAGAACUACAAAAACGGAAGGAGAAACUCACGAAGGCUAAGGAUGAGGCGGUACAAUCGUGGUCAGAUUCCAGACCUGUGAUUGAUGAGCUUGAAAAGCUGCAGUCGGAACUUGCAGAUGCACAGAGUCGAACAGCCUCAUCCAACGUUACUAUUUCAGAGCUUGACUCUCAGCUUGAAAGGUUGAGUAUCUCUAUCAGGGCUAAGAAGGAGGAAGAACUGAAGAUCCGAACAAUGAUUAACAGGAUAAAUCAGGUCUUGCAACAGACGCGGGAAGAGAUGGAGGAGUUCAAGAUGGAAAGAGAUGAAAAACACAGAACAGGAUUGAAACUAAAGCAAGUUCUACGUCUAAGGUGGCAGACUCUUCGCACUUUGCAACUCACCCUCAGAGCAAUACGAUUAGAAUCAGAAGCUUAUGCUACAUCAGCUCAUGAAGCACAACGCUACAUCAGCCUUUUCCAGACAGAUGACACUAUGGUCAAGCUUACUCAAGAAGAGUACCAUGCAAUAACAAAAAGAACAAGAGACGAAACUUCAUUGGCACAAUGGCGAAUUGCAGUCUCUAUGGAACAAAAGCAGGCAGCCGAGGAAAGCCAAGAGACAGCUGCUAGAAGAUUGCAGAACUUGUAUUCAAAGAAUGGAUCAGGGAAAAGGAAACAUCCCGCUAAUGGGGUCUUAAAAGUUUAAAGAGCAAUUUUCUACAAUUAAUGGCAAUAUAAUUUGUAAUCGUAUUUGUGAGGGGAAAAUUUGAAGUUUGUGCUUUUGUUGUAUUAUAAAUUUAAUCACAACUUCUAACCAAAUUUAUUUUAACAACACAAAUAAAAAAUCGUACUUGGUUAAAUAUUGAAUUCCGCUAUAUAAGAUUUCUGUAAUACUAACAAUAGUUGUUCUUGUAAUGACAACUAACAAUGGAAUAUAUUAUUUUGUUCGCUAAAUAAUAUUAGCUGAUUAUAUACGUGCAUAGCACAUGAUUUUUUCUAGUAAUUUGAAGUGUUCUAGAGAUACCAUUAGGAAUAAAGUUUACGAAAUGUGGCAUGAGCAGGUGAGCUUUGUCCGAUCUUUUAGGUUGGUAUAGUUCUUAUUAUUGGUAAACCCUAUUAAUUCUUUUUAAACAAACUUACUGCUUCAUUAGAUAAAAACUACGAUACAUUUGGCAAAUUCUACUAGUUUCCAGGCAAAUUCUACUAGUUUCCCAUUUAAAUGAGAUUCACAAUCUGGAAAAUCAUUUUUAUUUUUUUUAUAAUCUCCCCGCAAUUUACAAUGAGUUCAGAGUGCUACUUUUAGUCAAUUUAGAAGAAUUUCCAUAAAGUCAUAAAAUAUCACAUAAGCAUUUUCAGAAGUAAUGUAACAUUCUUUUUAAAACGGCAUUGUGUGUCACUUGUCACCCGUUGCGAUGUUCCAAUGUCAUUAGAUGCAUUUCCGAGGCCUCGCUUACAUAGUUAAAUUAAGUUAUGUUUCUUUUUCUCAAGCCCUAAUCAACAAUACAAAGCAAACAAUUUAGUAGAGGGAAAUGAAAAGAACUCUGAAACACAUAAUGUAGUCAUAAUCGGCGUUUUGCAACGCCUUUUUUUCUUUUUUCAAUUUUUUUCUUUUUUUGGGUUUUUGUUUUGACUUUGAUGUACCCCGAGCUCUUACAAAUGGAUAAAAAGGAAAGAGAGAAAAUUACUACUAAUAAUUAUAGACUGAACGGACACCAUUUUGUUUUUGUUUUUCCCUUUUUUUUCAAUUUUUUUUCUUUUACUGUGGUACAAAACGACUGAAGGAUGAUGGUAAAGAGUGCAUCCACCCUAAUUAGGGCGAAUUUCAAUGCCCUUGAUAAUAAUGCCAGACUUCCAGAUUGUAUCACUGGUUUGAAAAAUCCUAGCUUCUGCCGUGGAACUUCUUCCGCGGUUGUUGACGAAGUCACCCAAGUUCAAUUCCUUCCAUCCAUCACUACGGGGUUGAGGAUAUAUGCCCGGAUCCUUCGAAUCUUGUGACUUGUCAAUGAACACACUAUAGCCUUCGUCAUCAGUUCCCUUAGCCUUUUCUUCAGUAAACAUAACCGAUGCAGUUGCUUUUUCAAGUCCCUUUGGCUUGGCAUUAAGUUUGAACACGAGAUAUGUCGAAUAGGAACUGCCCCUUGGGAGGUCCCUAGCAGGCACACUGGUUCGAAUGUCAAACCAGCAAACUUCAACAAGCUCGGCAACCUC